GAUGGGUGGCAUUUUGGGGACAAGUGACCGGGUCCCCAAGCUCAGAGGUGGCUGUGUCCAGUGCAUCAGCCCUGUGUCCUCUCG
rnacentral:sRNA from 14 species